GGGGUAGGUUCACAUGCGGUAGAAACCUAUUAUGUAAGGUGAAGCCAGGCCAUGCAGGGUGCUGAGGCAGCGGCCGGCCAUGGGAGGAGCCUGGCAGAGGCCUGGGCGGGAAAGACCCGAGAAAGGAGGAGGAGGAGGCCGGUGGGGAGGGCAGGAGAGAGGCAGGCGCCGGGCAAGGGCAGGCUGGCGUGCUCGUGAAGGGCAGAGGCUCUGACAAGAGGUUAGCUGCAUCCGGGGUGAAGUGGAAGCCGCUGCAGGGUUUUCAGCAGAGAAAUGACAGGUUUGAUGUGUGCUUUAAAGAAACAUGUCCUUGGCUGCUUGGUGGAGAGAUAAAGAGAAGAAACAGGGAGACCACGAGAGGACGAUGACAGCUUCGACUGGGGCUGUGGCGGCAGAGGAGACAUGCACGGACGCACAGACGCCCCAGCUUCCCUCCUGCUUCCUAACUGGGCCAGUGGUGCCACUAGCCUGGGGACUGCGACUCUGAAGAAAGCCAGGUCCUGAGAGGUCCAGAGGAGCAAGAGGGCUGAGGCAACUGCCCUGAGGACCUGGGACUCUACAUUCAGCUACAUGACCAAGACAGCCUCAACCAGAUUCCCCAGUUCCUGAUUUAAAAAUAAAUACUUGGGAUAUUCUCCACGACAUUUCCCAAACUGUAUUCCAUGAGAAGGGGUCUGUGGCCAAAUAUGUCGGGGAAACUGUAGACAUCAACCUCCUCUUGCAGAUCCACAGUGUACGAGGGCAUAUUAAAGGCUCUGGAAAGGACUGCAGUGAAGGAACCUGCUUAACUAGCUUUGUUUAACCAGUGAGUGCUCCUGAAACUUACUGUGCACAUCACCCUCCUUAAGAAUUCGUGUUGCAAGAAGUCCACGUUGGGAAACACUGUUAUAUUACUACCAGAAAAGAAAUACCCUGCCUAUUCAGCCAGUCCCCAGCAGCCUGGAUCCUGUUCCUCCAGUUUGAUACUACACCUCAGCUCACUCCCUGCCUGCCUCCCUCCCUGCAGGUAGAAACAGCAAGGCAUCGCAGACCCCAGAGCCUGGAACCCACAGGACCUGGGCUCACUGCGCACCAGACCAACAGAGUGUCCGAUGAUGGAAAACAGCUCCCUGACAGACUGUGGAUAAAAAUUUAUCAACCCUAAGAUGUUUAACUGCUCCCAGUUCAAGCACUUUCAAAGAUUCACUCAAAUUCAUUUUUAGGGUUACAUUAUAAGUCUCUGAAAAUCCUACUCUUGUAACAGCAGUACCGACAGCCCUCACUUAAUCACUCUGGUAGAUCAUAUUUAAAAACAAAAUAGAGCUAAAAAAAUUCAUUCCAUGUUAGUGAGCAGAUGUCUAGCCCAUUUGCAAUUAAUACGACCCACUUCCAUACAAUCAGACUGCUUAAAAUUCCUGGAACAAGAUGUAAAACUGAAGAUGCAAAUGUUCUGAUUUUAAUGAGAAUGAAUGGAAGCUAUGAAACCCACUCUCCCUUUGAGGGUAGGUACAAUCUACAUGUAAGUCCCAACUGCACACUCAAUUUAUCAACAAAACAAUCAUCUGAUAAAGCCUGUGUGAGAGAAGAAAGCAGAACUGGGAAAGUCAGGAGUGUAUUUGGAAAGCAUUUCCUACCAAGAUUAAAUGUUAUCAAAGCCAUCAUCCUUUUAAGGAGCUUUCAAGAAAACUUGACUCAUUUCAGUACAUUUCCCCCAGUUACCUACACGUACUAGGAGAUUCUUGUACUCCUUUGAGUCCAUGAGAUCUUGUCAGUGGACAGUGCAGAGGGUGACAGAAAAGACCAUGACUUUGGUGCUUCCUGGAUCACCCUUCAGAUCCCAGCUCCAUCACUUCACAUGACCUUGAGCGAGUUAGUUACCCUUCUGAGCCUCAGUGUUCUGUCUAUACGAUGGUGAUAACAUCUUGUGUGGGUGUGAAUAUCAAAUCAACAGGGGUGUAUUAAAGACCCAAACAGAGUUCCAAGCACACGGCAGGCAUGUGAAGUGGCAGCGAUGAUUAGAAAUACUAUAUUCAUGGUGGCAGGGGCAUACUUGUCUAGGAUCUAAAGACAAGUCUCAACUUUCACUUUUCUUUCUCCCUGCUUGGAAGGCCCUCCUGUUGGCUUACCGAAACCUUACCCCUUCCUCGAUGGUCCAGUUUGGAAGUCUCUCCUGUGGUCUGUAUUUUCACUAGGCAGCGGUGGGUUUCUCAAGGUGUGGACCCCACAACUCCAUCUGGAUCAGACACCCCACCCCUGGUCACCCUAUUGGCUCUGGGCCGGAACUGACAUUCCCAACAAGCACCAGAGCCUAGCCACUCUAUGAACGCUGGGGAGACACCUAACUCGGGCGAUGCUCGGUCGGCCUCUGUUGAAUGAAACAGCAAAAACCAAGAACUUGAACUCUCACAGCACUUACUUGUGCCCCUUGUCUUCAUUCAUUUGUUCCAUAGCUAUGAAGGGAGUACCUCCUCUGUGCCAGGCACAGUUCUAAGCCUGGAAAGUUGACAAGGACCACGAAAGAACCGGACGACAUAUCUUCCUGGGGGAAUGCACAGUUUCAUGGGGCAUUUGCUCCAGGAGGAGAGUAGAAGGGCAGGGGACAGGCACGAACACUUCUUUUAUCUUUCGUGACUGGCACAAGCCCUGUGGAAACCAGACACUCAGAAACGAUUUGAUGACAACCAUGAACAAAAUCAGCAGGGAUUCUGGAUGUAUUUCUAAGGAAGAACCCGCAGAAUUUACCAAUGGAUUGGCUGUGAGAGAAAGGAGAGGCAGAGGCCACUCCAAGACUUCUGGUCUGGCAACAGGACGAAUGGAGUCGUCAUUUCCUAACAUGGGGACCACUGCCCACGCGCAAGUGGCAACGUCAACCGGCACCUGGGCCUGAAGUCUGGGGAGAGACCUGGGUGAGGAUGUAAACCUGGGCUUCAGCAGCAACUGUUUAAAACAUAUUUAAAAUCCUGGGAUGGAUGAGAUCACCUAGGGAGUACGGACAGAGAAGGGACCAGACCCAAGAACUGAGCUCGGGACACGCCAAUGUUCUGGGAAGAGGAGGAGGAAUCUAUAGAGAAGACUGAGAAGGAACAGCCAGGGGAGUGGGGGAAGCUCCUGAAUAAGUCGCAGCUAAUAUUAUGAAUGUUCACUUUAAGGCAAAACCCAACAAAGCCCCUACCUCAAAAUUCUGUUUGACAAUCCUCACGUCUCUGUAGUUGAACAAAAUGGAGGAAUAACGGACGCCCUAUACGAUAAGCAUGAUCACCGAGUAGUCACCUUACAAGCAGACACAGAGACAGUCACCAUGAAAUUUUAACUAUGCAUAUUGAAAAACAUAGUUCAAGAACGAGGAGAAAAAGGACGGUGGGAAUUCUCAUCUAUGUUUAAGAAACAGGCCCCACAUUAUUGCAAAGGGUUUUUGAACAGAGACAAAGACAUUUUUCUUAUGUUCACCACGUUUAUGAUCAACAGUCAACAUGGUUAUUAAGCCAUGAACAAGGCCCACACAAUUUCAUGAUCUUCAACAAAUGUCUAGCAGAAAUCACUGCCAUCCCCCCCCCCUCCACGCCCUGCCCCCAUCCUGGCCGUCUGAGCUCACCAGCGGCUGGCCCGGCUCCAAGGAUUAAGUAACCAGGUGAUCUCCACAACAACCCCACGAGAGAGCUCCAUUUUACACGGGGAGGAAAUGACGCCACAGAGACAUUCAGUGACGACCCAACAUCACAUGGCUAGAAUCGGCCAAGCAAGGCACUGAACCCUAGCCGUCUGGCUCCAGGUCUGCUUAGGAGCUGGGUUGAUUAUGAUGGUGAUGAGAAUGACGUCAAUCACUACUCCUGUAACUACAUACAGCACCACCAGUUAAAUUAAUUUUAAUUAAAAGUCAAUAUAAUUUACAUAAUUAAUAACACUAUAGACCACAUUAGUAUAAACUCAUGCUCAUCUUUUAAUUCAAUUGCCAACCGAAAUGGAUUGUGUAUGUCACUUUUAUCAGAAUCGAGCAACUGUUUUGUCUCAAUGCACAGACACAAUGAAAAGAUUAAAUGGAGGAAAAAUCAACUGCAUAGAUUGGGAUUAGGGAACAAAGUAAAAUACCAAGAUAAACUGCUUUUAAAAUCAGCUGAAGAUUUAAUGCAGCUCUGGAAAGUUUCGAUUAUUUGCACGCUUGGUCUAUGCCGUGUAAAUCUGGGCUAAUGAGAUUCAACUGCUGUGUAUAAAUCUGAAGCAGGACAACCCGACUGUCUAAAGAAAAUAGCAGCUUGGACUCCUGUGUUAAUAACUCUUCAGAACAAAGAUUAUGAUUCGGGAAGAGUAACAUCAUUUUUGCUUCACAUUAUUGAUUGCAGGGGGUAUUGAGAGAAAUGGCUCCAUUUGGUCAAAUCUAAGCUCUGAGACAAGUGCCAGGGCGUCAAAGAAUCUACUGAUCAGUAUUACUGUUCUUCUAAUAACAAGACCAACAAUGACAAUUUAUUUAUUUAUAAUUUUAUUUAUUUAUUUAUUUUUGGCUGCAUUGGGUCUUUGCUGCUGCACGCAGGCUUCCUCUAGUUGCGGUGAGCGGGGGCUACUCUUUCUUGUGGUGCGCGGGCUUCUCGUUGCAGUGGCUUCUCUUGUUGCAGAGCACGGGCUCUACGCGCAUGGGCUUCAGUAGUUGUGGCACAUGGACUCAGUAGUUGUGGCUCGCAGGCUCUAGAGCACAGGCUCAGUAGUUGUGGCGCACGGGCUUAGUUGCUCCGCGGCAUGUGGGAACUUCCCAGACCAGGGCUCGAACCCGUGUCCCCUGCAUUGGCAGGUGGAUUCUUAACCACUGUGCCACCAGGGAAGCCCAACAACAACAAUUUACAUUGUCUCUUUGCCUAUGGAAAUUAUGAAGCACCAAGAGAACGCUUCUCCUUUGUAAAGUCCCCCGUGUCUAGUACCAAGGGCUACGCAGUGCUACGCACGGGGGUGGAUCACCAUAGAUCCUCACAGGUACCUGGCCGGGUGGCGCACUUCCCCUUAGGCUCUUCAUAAAGGUUUUGUGCACAGUGGUACAUGAUUAUAGGUACUGUUAAAUGCAUCUUAAAGCAAAGUGAUCCACUUAAGAUCAGUCCAGCACACUGCUGCACUCUUUUUAACACAGGCAUAAACAGGACUUCAGGAGCACAAAGGAUGGAACUAUCUCGGCCUGAAGAAGUAAGGGUGGGCUUCUUGAAAGGUAACAUUAGACCCCAAUCUCAAAGAAGGCGCAGCAGUUUUGCCAGAAGGGGCAGGAGCUGGACAAGGACACCACAGAGGGCAAAGCAGGCACAAAGCACAGAAGCAAACGGGCACGGAGUGUUUGGGGAAUCUUGUGGUUUCUAAGGAGCCCCUGGAAACGAGGAGGUAUUGAGGGUGGAGAGCCACUGGCAUUUAGCAUUCUGGGGUCAGGGAUGCUAAUCCUUCUGCAAGACACCACCAGCUCCAUACAAGGAGAGACUGUCCCAUUCAAAAUGCCAGGAGUGCCUCCACUGAGAAACACGAGAGGGUACCCAGGUGGUGGUGGGAGGUAAUAAGAGGGGAAGAGGUUGGAAAGGAAAACCGAGGCCGGGUUCUAAAGACCGCCCACAUACACCUCCCUAAGGAGGAGGGCUUUACCCUGCAAGCAAAGGAGUAGGAGACUGGCUUGGGGAGACCUGUCCUUUGGAAUGAGCACUAAGUAUGGAAGAUGGAAUGGAGGCAGAGCGUCCAGAAACAAGGAGACCAGGGGAUCAGCUAGGUGGCUGCAGCAAGAAUUCCGGCAACAGAGAUAAGUGAUGGAGCAGAGAGCUACCAAAUUGGGAGCAGGUAUAAGACAAGAAGCCUGGAACUCAGGUACCCUGGAAACAGACCCAACACUUUCGCCAUUGAAUAGAACUGAAUUAAGCCACACACACAAAAAAGAUAGUUGUGGUUUUACUACUGCUUUUUAAGGUAACUGUGCAUUUACUCAACCCCUUUUUCUGAAUUCUGAAAACAGUUUUACCCCGCCUCAAAAAGGCAAGUACCACAGGUUUCCACCAGACAUUAAUUUCAUAAAUCAAUUAAUAAUAUUUAAAGCUAAAAUCCAAUGAAACUCCUUUGGAGUUCAAAUAGCUUUCUCCAACAUUUAAAUUCACUAUUAUAAAUGCUAGCCUAAUGAAAUAUACCUGGUAGAGUUGGUGGAAUGUGCUUCCCAAGUUUGGGGGGAUAAACGCAAUUGAGACGUGUUGAGGGAAACUAGAGGUCUGCAUCAUGGGCUUCCAAGGCACCAUUAGAAAUGACAGACCCCAGGAAUUAUUGGCAUAUUAGCAUCGAGGGGGGUGGUGGGGGCGGUUCUGGGAUGCCUAACUAGGUUAUCCUUAAGUUAGACUCAAAAGUUUUAGGGAAUCUGAGGGACACUAUCAAUUACCACUUAGCCCUAAACACACAUUCAUGUAACAAGUGUCCCACUGCCUCUGGGAGCAACUGUCUUGAACCAAUAGGUAAAUAAACUAAAGAAACAACAUAUACCUAGUAAAUGGUAUUUGUAAAAAAGGAAAGGGGGGAAGGAAGGGAAGGAGGG